UUUUACAGCAUAAAUUAUUUUAGCAUAAAUUGGCAAAGUUUUGAUUUAAGACUUGCGAUUCCUGCUUCAUAGAAUUUCUGCUACAUCAUCUUCCUAUUAUUUUCCAGGACAUUUUUAUUGACUGUAAGCAAAAUGCCGGUUCCCGAUAUCGUACUGAAUAAUGGAAAGAAAAUUCCGAUAGUCGGGCUUGGUACUUGGGGCAGUCCCAAGGGUGAAGUUGUCCAAGCCGUAAAAGAUGCUAUCGACAUUGGUUAUCGCCAUAUAGAUUGCGCUCACGUAUAUCAAAAUGAAGACGAAGUUGGUGAGGGAAUUGAAACUAAAAUAGCGGAAGGUGUUGUGAAACGCGAAGAGUUGUUUAUCACCAGUAAAUUGUGGAACACCUUCCACAGUCCUGAAUUAGUACGCGGUGCACUCGAAACUACCUUGAAAAAUUUGCGAUUGAAUUACCUUGACUUGUACCUGAUCCAUUGGCCUAUGGGAUACAAAGAGGGUGGCCAAUUGUUUCCAAAUGAUGAUCUCGGAAAUGUGGCUUACUCGGAUGUUGAUUAUGUUGACACAUGGAAGGAAAUGGAAAAACUUGUAGAGGCUGGUCUUGUUAGGUCUAUUGGUGUAUCGAAUUUCAACAAGCGUCAGGUUGAACGUGUGCUUGAGGUUGCAACCAUUCCUCCAGUCACAAACCAAAUCGAGUGUCAUCCAUAUUUAACACAAAAAAAGCUGAUUGAAUUCUGCAAAUCAAAGAAUAUUGCUAUUACUGCUUACAGUCCUUUGGGUUCACCAAAUCGCCCAUGGGCAAAGCCUGAAGAUCCCGUUUUAUUGGAAGACGCUAAAAUUCUUGCUAUUGCUAAAAAGUACGGUAAGACUCCAGCUCAAAUUCUCAUUCGCUAUCAAGUGCAACUCGGUAACAUUGUAAUACCAAAAUCUGUGACCAAGAGCCGCAUUGCAUCGAACUUCGACGUGUUCAAUUUCGAGUUAAACGCAGAUGAUAUUGCCACCAUUGAUGGUUUUAAUUGCAACGGUCGUUUCGUGCCUUUGGACAACGAUGCUGGGCAUAAGCAUUAUCCUUUCAAUGACGAGUUCUAAGAAACUACUCAUAUUGAGAGUGAAUUAUAUUAUUUCACCAGCAGUUAAUUUUGCGUUUUUCAACGAGUUCAAUAUCUUAUCACCAUCGAACACAUCCACACCAUCCAUUCGCCAACGAUGAAUACUAAGAAAUGUUGCGGAGGAGUUUUGAAGUUACCUUUAAAUGGAAUAAAAUACACUCAUAUAUAUGUGUAUGUACAUACUUACGUAUAUAAAAGAUUUUAAACUAU